rnacentral:tmRNA from 1 species
CUGUGCUCGGAGAAGUCUAUAUGGCAACACUUCUGGACAGGGGUUCGACUCCCCUCAUCUCCACCA